rnacentral:rRNA from 1 species
GACGAAGGUGGCGACCGUUGUUUGGAAUCACUGGGCAUAAAGAGCACGUAGGCGGCAAGGUAUGUCGGGUGUGAAAUCCCUCGGCCUAACCGAGGAAUUGCGCCCGAAACUACCGUGCUUGAGGACGGAAGGGGAGCGUGGAAUUCCUGGUGGAGCGGUGAAAUGCGUUGAUAUCAGGAGGAACACCGGCGGCGAAGGCGACGCUCUGGUCCAUUACUGACGCUGAGGUGCGAAAGCCAGGGGAGCAAACGGG